GUGCCAGCAGCCGCGGUAAUACGGAGGGGGUUAGCGUUGUUCGGAAUUACUGGGCGUAAAGCGCGCGUAGGCGGACUAUUAAGUCAGGGGUGAAAUCCCGGGGCUCAACCCCGGAACUGCCCUUGAUACUGGUAGUCUUGAGUUCGAGAGAGGUGAGUGGAACUCCGAGUGUAGAGGUGAAAUUCGUAGAUAUUCGGAAGAACACCAGUGGCGAAGGCGGCUCACUGGCUCGAUACUGACGCUUGAGGUGCGAAAGUGUGGGGAGCAAACAGGAUUAGAUACCCUGGUAGUCC
rnacentral:rRNA from 1 species